GCCUGACGUACCCUGCCGCGGGGUGGUGCUCUGACUGCGGCAACCGUUGAAGGGCUGCCCCCCGGAAGGCAGCGAGGCGUCACCGGUCCCUCAAACAGCUUUUCAUGUUUAUUCUACACAAGAGGAAUGACUGUGUCAGUACCACUUUCUUGAGCUAUGGCAAUCAGAGCUGGAAGUGGGAACUUGUCUACAGAACACCCAAACUUGCCAAGGAUGGUGCAGAUUAUGAAAGAUAAUGGCUUUAUCCCCUCCCAGCACUGAUGAUAUUAUCAGAGGUGAGUGUGGCACCAAUUACAGUACCAGUUUUUUAUUGAUAUUAGUAAAUAGGUAAAGACCACUGAUAUCAAUGUUUUUAUUCUUUAGUUUUGUGUGUGUGUGUGUGUCAGUGUGCUGUCUUUGCUUUGAGUUUCCAAGUAAUUAUUAUCAACAAAUAAUUCUUGAGAUUUUGCUAUGUUAAAGGCGUUUUACUGGGAAUUAUGGAUACAAGAAAGUAAAAUUGUGACCAUAUUUUCUGAAUUGAACAUCACAAAAGUGAUUUGACAGAAAAUUCCCUGACCUCUGGAGUAAAUCAUAAACCGUUUUUUAUAAUAGAUCCAGGGACCUGUACAUGCAUGGACAUAAGUGUGCACACACAGAUUUUACAAUGUUAGUAAGAAUUGUGCUUGGCUUCCCAUGACCAAGUUCACAGACUACAUUUUAUGAGUGGAAAUGAAAGAAGAUACUGGUAUAAGCUCCUUGGUACUCCUGGAACUUCCAGGAGUUCCUCAUCCCCCUUCUUAAAUUUUUUCAUAUGUAUAUGUAUAUAUACACAACUCUAUAAAAAGGUAUGUAUGUGAUAAUAUAUAUAUUCUAGUGGCUAUCUUAGUAUAGCAUUUUUCUUUUUUUUCCCUUUUUCUCCCCACCCUUUUUCCUUUUUUAAUUUGGCUCUCCUGCCUUUAUCUAGUGCUUCACAAAGAAGCACUAGAUAAAGUGAUUGUAACCCACAUUAGUUACUUGAAAGUUUUGAACAUGUGUUUGCAUAUUAGGAUCCUGGAAUAUCAAUGAAAAUAUGAAAAAAUUUUAACAAAUAUUUUUGGUUACACUUUUAUCAGUUUUAUAAACUAAUAUGAUUGUUUUGUGUUUGGCUUUAUUUUUUUCCUAAUUUUGUUAUUACUGAUAAUUACAAAUUGGUGAAAUAGUUAUCAGGAUAUUAAUAUUUAUUAAAUUUCAAUUAGAAUAAGAUUGAUCAUAUUGUAGCAUUUGAGUUGAGGAUAUAGCUCAGUGGGAGAGGGUUGUGUUGCUGUAGACUAUUAGAAAAUAUAUUGUAGCUAAGUGGUAGAAAGUGUACUUAGUAUGUGAAUCACUGGAUUCAAUAUCUAGUACCACAAAAAAAAUUUUAAGUAGUAAGAGAACAUUUUCCUUUUUUCUCUAAAAUUUACCAUUUUGAAUUAAUGAGAAAAGAAAAAAUUCAAAAAUGAACAGAUUAUAUGUGUUGAAGUGAAUAUUCUUUUAAAAUUUAUACUGGGGAGUAUAUAUAUUUUUUAUUUUACAAUAAAAAUUUUUCUAGUUUGGUGGUUGAUGAUUAACAUUAAUUGAAUUUUGAUUUCUCUUAGAGAAUACUUUAACAAAAGUGUUUCCAACCUAUGGCUUGCAGGCUGUAUACCUCCAUGCACAGCUAGUAAUAUACCCCGUUGAGAUUAUAAAUUUUUAACAUUACUUUAUGAUUUUUGGCAACAUUUUUCCCGACAAGAUUGCUCAGUGCUGCAUAGUCAGCAAUAGAAUGCUGUGAGGAGGAGGGCCACAGUGCAAUGCCAACUUUGCCUCCUGUGCUUGCUACACAGUCCAGUCAAAUCAAAAUCUGCAGAUAUCAGAUGUUAUGUGCACUUCUGCAACUUGGCAAGUAAAAUGCUAUAAUCAAAAGUAGAAUUUCAAAUUACCAUCACAUGUAUGUUUCUGUGUAGACAGGUGUUGUUGUUAUUGAACAGAUAUGUAUUCUUAUUAAACUUGGGCUUGUGUUAUUUUAUAAAAUAAUAAGUUAAAAUAUUUUUUAAAGGAAAUUGUUAUUUGUUAUUUAUAAACAUUUACUGUGUUAUAUACAGUGGUGCCUUGGUUCACAGAUGCUUUGGUUUGCAAACAAUUUUGCUUGUAAACCAAAGUAUUUGGCAAAAUUUUAUAUUUUUCACAAACCUGCCUCAGUGACAGACACGGCCAUGGCAUUUUCCCUACACGAACACAAAUGUGGCCAUCUUUUCCAAAGUUGUAGAACAAAUUUUUAUGAACCAAGGCAUCACUAUAUUUUAUUUUGGGGCCUAGACAAUUCCUCUUUACUCAUUGUGGCCCAGGCAAGCAAAAGAUUGGAUACCCAUGCUUUAAAAUAAUAUUUUUGUUUGUCAUUGCUUGGAAAUAAAUUUUAUUCUGUAGUUUUUAUUGUAGGCCAACUAUUAUUCUAUCUAGCACAUCAAGAUGAAGUUUUAUAACAUUCUAUUUAAUAAAAAUGAAUGUUGGUACAAUUUACUCUAACUUUAGGCAUAAUUAGAUUACAUAUUUAAUUUAACCAUCAAAUCUACAUAAAAACUAGAAAUUUAAUAUUAAUUUUACUUCAAUAUCUUUCUCUAAGAAAACUUAGAUUACACCACUGAGAUGGAGAAAUUAUUCAUCCUAUUAGUAUUAAAAGAUUCUUUUAAGUAGAGUUUAUAAGCAGAUAAGAUUUACUCUUUUAUAAUUGUUUUGUCAAUUAUGAACCUGCUAUUAGAGAAGUGCUAUGGUCUGAAUUUCACCCAAAAGUGUUGAAACUUACUGGCCAAUGUGAUAAUAUUAAGAAAUGGGGCCUUUAGCAGCUGAUUAAGUCAUGAGACCAGAGCCUUCAUGGAUGGGGUCAGGGCCUUACAGAAGAGCUUGAAAGUGUGGGUUCCUUGUCUUCUGCUCUGCCUUGUGAGGAGGAUGCAGCACAAGGCAUAAUCUUAGAAGCAGAGAACAGCCUUUAUCAGAUUAGUCCUGCCAGCACCUACAUUUUGGAUGCUCCAGCCUUAGAACUAUGAAAAAUAAAUUUCUAUUAUUUAUAAAUCACAUAUUCUGCAUUAUUUUGUUAUAGCAGCACAGACAGAUUAUGACAGGAAGCAAGUAGUGUCUUUGGCCACAUUUUAUUUAGAUGAGUGCUGGGAGUAGAAACUACUAUUUACAAAAAUAUUUAGUUGGGUUUAAUAAAAGUAAAAUAAAGCAAAAAUGAUUCAAACAUUUAUUUUCUAUGCUUAAUAUUUUAACAUACUCAUGGAAGUAUGACCUCUCCCUAUAAUUUCAAAGAAACUAACACUUAAAAAUUUUAUAAGCACCUAUUUUGAAUAAAUCACUGAAAUGAUUAAUUGAAGAUACAGUUCAUAUUCUAAAUAUCUUAAAAAUGAUCAUUACUACAAAUUAAUUUUUCAGAUUUACCAUUACUUUAUUUUGGGGAGAGUUGCACAGUGUUUUUAAAUCAUAUUAAAAAUACAGAACAUAGACUUUUCAGAGUAUGAUAUAGAAAUAUAGUAGUAAGGCCAAAUUCUCAAAGAUUUUUAUUUCUUCAUCUUUUUUUUUUUUCUUAUUUUUGCAGUGUUGGAGAUUGAACCCUGGAACUCACACAGUCUAGGAAAGCACUUGGCAUUUAGCUAUAUGCUCAAUAGUCUCAAAAUUUUUUAAAAGAACAUUUAUCUAAAGGACAAUAAGAGGUUCUUGAGAAUUAGUUAUGUCUGUGAUAUAAGAUAAAUUUAUAGAUAGGAAACAAAUUUAAAAGAAACUCAUCUAUGUUACAUGGCUCUAUAACUGUAACACAAUUAAAAUGUUUAAAGUACAUUAAAAUAGUUUCCUACUUUAGACACAUUGAAAGUUUUGUUAGGAUAACUUAAGUGAUUUAUACUUAAUGAGAUAAUAUUCACAGCUUGUACAUUUCAAACUUGAGAACAAUUUGAAGCUGGUACUAUUUUCAUUAUUUGACAUUGUUACAUAUUUUUGCAGUACUGAGAACCAGGAGUAUGCUACAUGUGAGCUACAUCCCCAGCCCUUUUUAAAUUUCAUUUUGAGAUAUGUCUCUCUAGGUUGCUGAGGCUGGCCUCGCAUUUGUAAUCCUCUUGCCUCCCAAGUAGCUGGGCUUACAGGUGUGAAUCAUGGGGCCCAGCUGACAUGUUUAAUUUAUGUUUGCUUUUUCAUACUAGUAAAGAGUUUACAUUGUAAUGGCAUAUAAGUAAAAAUCCUAGGGCCAUAGACACCCAUAGUUCAGAUGAGUAACUGAGAUCAAUAUAGUCAGGUGUGUUUUAGAGAUGGGGACAGGUCUAAGAAAUAUAUUGUUAGGCAAUUUUGUCAUUGUACAACAUCAAAGUGUACUUCUAAGUAAUUAAUAGUCUUAGACCAGACUAUUAGGAAACAUUGUUAUGUGAUACAUGACUCUGUAUAAAUAAAAAGAUAACAUUUAAAACAAUACAUUAUAAACUGGGUAUAGUGGCACACUCUACAAUUCCAACACUCUGGGAAGCAGUUCUUACCCAGCCUGGGCAACUUGGUGACUUUACCAACACUGUGUCUCAAAAAUUAAAAAUGCUUAUUCUGGUCAUAGGUUAUAUGCAUUGUAAAUAUGGUCUGUUUAAGGACUACUUUUCAUUUUAAUGAUGUCAUUUAAAGUUCUAAAUUUUGAUGGAAUCUCAUUUAUCAAUUUUUUUCUUUUAUACAUCAUGUUUUUUUGUAUCCUAGGUAGUUCUUGCCUACCCUGAAUUCAUAAAUAUUUUCCCUUAUAAUUUCUUCUUAAAGUUUUAUACUUUUAGGCUUUCUUAUUUAAGUUCAUAGAUCCCUUCAAGUAAUUUUCAUGUAUGGAAAAAAAAGGGUUGAGGUUAAUUUUUUAUAUACAGAUACCAGGUGUUCUAGUGCCGUUUUCUGAAGACACUAUCUUUUCCUUGGCUCUUGAAUCAAGUUUAUAUUCUAUAAAAUGCUAAUGUUAAAUAAUCUUUCAAAACUCAGUGGACCAUAUAUGUGUGGUUCUAUUUCUAGAUUCUCUGUUUUAUUCAAAUGAUCUGUAUGUCUUUCCUUACACCAACACUGCCUUGAUUACUGUAGCUUUAGAAGUCUUAAAAUUAGGUACUAAAUGUCUUCCAACACUGUUUUUUUUUUUUAACUUUUCUAGGUCUUUUGUACUCCUACAUAACUUUUAAAUUUCAAUGUCCAAUUCUUCAUUUAUAGCAAGUAUACACAGACCUGAAUUUUUAUAUAUACCUUGUGUUUUCUAAUCUUGCUAAAUUCAAAUACAAGUUCUAGGGGCUCUUAGAGAUUUUUUAGUAUUUUCUCUGUAGAUGAUCAUUUCAUCUACAUAUAAAGAUUUUGCUUCUACCUUGCCAAUCCUAUCCUAAUUGUGUCAUUUUAUUUCCAGACUAUUUUGGUUGGGCCUAGGUUUCAAAGUUUAAUGGACAGAUAAAGAGUAAGCAUAUCUGCCCUUGUUCCCCACCUUAAGGAGAAAGCAUUGUAUCUUCUGCAUUCAUAUAAGGCGUUCUCACUGGAAGUAUGGAGUACAUGUCUUUAAUCUGUUGAGAAGGUUCUGUUCUACUUCUAGUCUCCUGAUAGCUUUGACCAUGAACAGCUAUAGAAUUUAGUCCAAUACUUUUUCUCCAACUAGUGACAGGAUCAUAUGGCUUUUUCCUUUCCUCUGUUUAAAUGAUGACUUUUGGGGGUGGAUCUUCCAAUGCUGAACCAACACUGCCAUCCCUAUAACAAAACCACUUUCUACAUCCUGCCAGAUCUGACUUCUAAGGCUUUGUUUCAUUAAACAAAUUUCUAUCUAUGUUCAUACUUUUUUCUUCUAUUAUCUUUAUCCAGUUUUAGGAUUAGCACAAUGUUGAUUUCCUAAAAUGAGGGGAGAAAUGUCCCUUCUUUUUUUCUGCUUUAAUUGUUUGAUAUAAUUUAUCAGUUAAAAUGUAUAUGAGCCUGCUGUUGUCAUAUAGGUAGGUUUUCAAGCUAGGAAUAUACUUUCUUUAAUAGGUGCUAUUCAAAUUUUAUAUUUCCUCUAGAGUUAGUUUCAUUAAUUUGUCUUCCAAGGUACUUCUGAGAAGUUGUCAAAUUUAUUUCAAAACAGAUUUUUGUAAUAUGCUUUUUAUAUCAUUUUAAAUUCUAUAAAAUCUGUGGUAAUGUCUCCUAGAUCUUGAUAUUGUAAUUUUAAAAAUGUAUAAUUGAUAUUGUGUAAUAGGAAGAAAAGGUCUGAAGGAG
rnacentral:lncRNA from 1 species